rnacentral:lncRNA from 1 species
AAAGACAAUAUGAAUUAUACUAUGAACUUAUAAGGUUACAACAUAGCAGACACAUUUAUCAUAUUAGAAUGUUAUACUAUUAGAUUCAUAAAAUUGAUUCGAGAACACCCUCUAAUGAAGUAUUCACCCAGAUGUUCUCUAUUAUUCUCAUUUAAAACAUAAGAUGGAUCAAUUACAAGUUAACCAGGGUACCCUAAGGGCUAAGGCAUGCUUUAUUAAGUAAGCUAAUAAAUCUUAUAUGCUGAAAAAAUGAGUGAAUAAAUUUUAGAUGCAGUAUAUAUGUCAUUAUCAUAAUGCAAAUAAGUAUCUCUACUUCAUUGUGACAGAUAAGGCAUCAGGGAUAGUAUAGCCUAGCUAUUAACGCAUAAAUGUCUCUUAGGGCUGGAAUUCUAUGCAAUAGAUUUGACAGAGAAUGACUAGAGGGGUUGCUCUGAUGGUAAGCAAUCCCCACUUUUAAUCGAGAGGUUGUGAGUUCGAGUCUCCCCAAGAGCAAGGUGAGAAGUUCUUGGAG